GCAUAUCAAUAAGCGGAGGAAAAGAAACCAACAGGGAUUGCCCUAGUAACGGCGAGUGAAGCGGCAACAGCUCAAAUUUGAAAUCUGGCUUCGGCCCGAGUUGUAAUUUGCAGAGGAAGCUUUAGGCGCGGCACCUCCUGAGUCCCCUGGAACGGGGCGCCACAGAGGGUGAGAGCCCCGUAUAGUUGGAUGCCUAGCCUGUGUAAAGCUCCUUCGACGAGUCGAGUAGUUUGGGAAUGCUGCUCAAAAUGGGAGGUAAAUUUCUUCUAAAGCUAAAUACCGGCCAGAGACCGAUAGCGCACAAGUAGAGUGAUCGAAAGAUGAAAAGCACUUUGAAAAGAGGGUUAAAUAGCACGUGAAAUUGUUGAAAGGGAAGCGCUUGUGACCAGACUUGCGCCGGGCUGAUCAUCCGGUGUUCUCACCGGUGCACUCUGCCCGGCUCAGGCCAGCAUCGGUUCUCGCGGGGGGAUAAAGGCCCUGGGAACGUAGCUCCUCCGGGAGCGUUAUAGCCCGGGGCGCAAUGCCCUCGCGGGGACCGAGGUUCGCGCUCUGCAAGGAUG
rnacentral:rRNA from 1 species